rnacentral:rRNA from 1 species
UGGGGAAUAUUGCACAAUGGGAGCAAGCCUGAUGCAGCCAUGCCGCGUGUGUGAAGAAGGCCUUCGGGUUGUAAAGCACUUUCAGCGAGGAGGAAGGGUAGUGUGUUAAUAGCACAUUGCAUUGACGUUACUCGCAGAAGAAGCACCGGCUAACUCCGUGCCAGCAGCCGCGGUGAUACGGAGGGUGCAAGCGUUAAUCGGAAUUACUGGGCGUAAAGCGCACGCAGGCGGUUUGUUAAGUCAGAUGUGAAAUCCCCGCGCUUAACGUGGGAACUGCAUUUGAAACUGGCAAGCUAGAGUCUUGUAGAGGGGGGUAGAAUUCCAGGUGUAGCGGUGAAAUGCGUAGAGAUCUGGAGGAAUACCGGUGGCGAAGGCGGCCCCCUGGACAAAGACUGACGCUCAGGUGCGAAAGCGUGGGGAGCAAACA